CGGCCACGGCAAAGGUUCGAAACGGCUGGUUCGGCGGCUCGGACGCGGCGGGACAAAUGAAACGGAAGCUGUGGAGCAUCAGAACCAGAAACAGAACCAGAACCUCUAGACUCCAUCUGCAUCUCAGUGAAGAUCAGCUUCUUUUAGAAUUGCAGCCAAUGAUGCAGAGGUAUUCCUUGCAGCAUGAGGUGGUGCAUUGCCGUGCAUGAAGAUGAUUUUGUUCCAGAAAGCACAGUUCUUCUUUUUGUACCAUGGAAGAAAGUGGUCAGUCAGAAACUCCACAUACUUUGCAGAGGUCAUUUUCACACCUUCAGGGACCCUAAAGGGGCCGACCAGCUCUCUCCCCAUGAUUCCGGCCCAAAACAUGACUCCGCCUCCUCCUUGCUGACGUCGCGGCCUUGUUGGGACAUGGUGGCCAUCCACCAACCGUCCAC
ensembl:lncRNA